UACAGAGGUCUCAAGCGUUGUUCGGAUUCAUUGGGCGUAAAGGGUGCGUAGGUGGCGGGGUAAGUCAGGUGUGAAAUCUCGAGGCUCAACCUCGAAACUGCACUUGAUACUGCCUUGCUAGAGUACUGGAGAGGAGAUUGGAAUUUACGGUGUAGCAGUGAAAUGCGUAGAUAUCGUAAGGAAGACCAGUGGCGAAGGCGAAUCUCUGGACAGUUACUGACACUGAGGCACAAAGGCCAGGGGAGCAAACGGG
rnacentral:rRNA from 1 species